UUUGUGACAACACAGUUGGUGCUGGGGAU
rnacentral:piRNA from 1 species